CCCGACUGCUAUUUGGGUGAGGAUAAGCCAUGCGAGUUGAAUGGGAUACCUAAAUUUCCCAUGGCAAACUGCUCAGUAACACAUGAUCAACUUACCCUAUAGAGAAAAAUAACCUCGGGAAACUGAGGAUAAUAUUUCAUAGUUGAAUAGGCUUGGAAAAGUUUUUCAAUAAAAGGGAUAAAAAAAAUGGUUUUUAUCUGCUAUAGGAUAGGAUCGUGGACGAUUAUGGUUGUUGGUGAGGUAACGGCUCACCAAGCCGAUAAUCGAUAGGAGCCGUGAGAGCGGGAGCCCCGAGAUGGGUACUGAGACGACGACCCAGGCCUUACGAGGCGCAGCAGGCGCGGAACCUCCGCAAUACACGAAAGUGUGACGGGGUUACCCAAAGUGUUCAAUUCUGAACUGUGGUAGGUGAGUAAUGUUCCCUACUAGAAAGGAGAGGGCAAGGCUGGUGCCAGCCGCCGCGGUAAAACCAGCUCUUCAAGUGGUCGGGAUAAUAUUGGGCUUAAAGUGUCCGUAGCCGGUUUAGUAAGUUCCUGGUAAAAUCGGGUAGCUUAACUAUCUGUAUGCUAGGAAUACUGCUAUACUAGAGGGCGGGAGAGGUCUGAGGUACUACAGGGGUAGGGGUGAAAUCUUAUAAUCCUUGUAGGACCACCAGUGGCGAAGGCGUCAGACUGGAACGCGCCUGACGGUGAGGGACGAAAGCCAGGGGAGCGAACCGGAUUAGAUACCCGGGUAGUCCUGGCCGUAAACGAUGCAUACUAGGUGAUGGUACGGCCAUGAGCCGUAUCAGUGCCGUAGGGAAACCGUUAAGUGUGCCGCCUGGGAAGUACGGUCGCAAGGCUAAAACUUAAAGGAAUUGGCGGGGGAGCA
rnacentral:rRNA from 1 species